rnacentral:rRNA from 1 species
CGGUGGAGCAUGUGGUUUAAUUCGAAGCAACGCGCAGAACCUUACCAACGUUUGACAUCCCUAUCGCGGAUCGUGGAGACACUUUCCUUCAGUUCGGCUGGAUAGGUGACAGGUGCUGCAUGGCUGUCGUCAGCUCGUGUCGUGAGAUGUUGGGUUAAGUCCCGCAACGAGCGCAACCCUCGCCUUUAGUUGCCAGCAUUAAGUUGGGUACUCUAAAGGAACCGCCGGUGAUAAGCCGGAGGAAGGUGGGGAUGACGUCAAGUCCUCAUGGCCCUUACGCGUUGGGCUACACACGUGCUACAAUGGCGACUACAGUGGGCAGCCACUCCGCGAGGAGGAGCUAAUCUCCAAAAGUCGUCUCAGUUCGGAUCGUUCUCUGCAACUCGAGAGCGUGAAGGCGGAAUCGCUAGUAAUCGCGGAUCAGCAUGCCGCGGUGAAUACGUUCCCAGGCCUUGUACACACCGCCCGUCACACCAUGGGAGUUGGAUUCACUCGAAGGCGUUGAGCUAACCGUAAGGAGGCAGGCGACUACAGUGGGUUUAGCGACUGG